rnacentral:rRNA from 1 species
CCUACGGGCGGCAGCAGUGGGGAAUAUUGCACAAUGGUGGAAACCCUGAUGCAGCGACGCCGCGUGAGUGAAGAAGUAAUUCGUUACGGAAAGCUCUAUCAGCAGGGAAGAAAAUGACGGUACCUGAGUAAGAAUCCCCGUCUAACUACGUGCCAGCAGCCGCGGUAAUACGUAGGGGGCAAGCGUUAUCCGGAUUUACUGGGUGUAAAGGGAGCGUAGACGGUUCGCCAAGUUUGGCGGGAAAUGCCGCAGCUUAACUGCGGAACUGCGUUGGAAACUGGCGAACGAGAGUGCGGGAGGGGUAAGCGGAAUGCCUAGUGUAGCGGUGAAAUGCGUAGAUAUUAGGAGGAACACCGGUGGCGAAGGCGGCUUACUGGCUCGUAACUGACGUUGAGGCUCGAAAGCGUGGGGAGCAAACAGGAUUAGAUACCCCAGUAGUC